ACGUGCACCUCUCGCCAAGACGCAUACAAUCUCCGGGUCCUCGUCGCCCAUUAGCCACCACAGCGCCGUCCCCGCUUGGACAUCCUGUGCGUCGGCCGCCUCCUCCGAUUCCGGCAGCCACGUUUGUCCCCCGCCCCUGGCCCUCCGAGAAGGUGGCGUUAGCGGCGGGUGCGGCGGCCCUGUUCGCGACGGCGUCCGCGCCGGCGGCGGGACGCGCCUGCUCGCGACGCCGUCCGCGCGCCGAGGCCUAGCACCACGCCCCUGUCACCGCGACGGCAUCCACGUGCUCCGGCCAUGGGCCCUGCUCGCGACGGCGUCCGCGCCGGCAGCGGGGCGCGUCUGCUCGCGACUGCAUCCGCGUGCUCCGCCCCAGCGCAGGCGGCCCGGCUGCUUCGCGCGCUGCCUCGCCACGACAUGCGCUCCAUGUUUCUCGCGCGCGGAGGCCACGUCGCUCGUCCCUGCGUUGGAGGCGGCGCCAUUCUUCCCCACGGGGGCCACGUUCUGCCUUCUCCAACGCCGGCCGGUCCGUGGAAGAGAUGGCGUCACUGACUUAACUGACAGAACUGACAGAGUGCUACAUUUGGGUAACGUUGGAGCUUUUUAGUGAUAUUUUACGGUGCCAGAUGGUUUUAGUGGUAUUUUACUAAAGUCAUCGUCUUUUGAUGCUACACAGCCAAUUUUCCCAUAAGAAAAAUCCACGGGAUAAGAUGGAGAGGGUUUCAUAUGUUGGCGACGCCGACCGAUGGGCUCGACACUUAUGUCAACUUUGGAAAAACUCCGUAAGAUGGAGAGGGUUUCAUAUGUUGGCGACGCCGACCGAUAGGCUCGACACUUAUGUCAACUUUG